rnacentral:lncRNA from 1 species
CAUGAUAUAGUCAUAUGGUAUUUUAGUUGAUUCAGAUAACCUUUGCAUGCUUCAAUUCAUCCAUGAUUUUAGCCCGAGAACAUGUUCGGUAAGGGUGUCAUGAUACUUUUUUUUUGCCAUUUUUUUAUUUUUUUUUCUUGAAGGAAAAUGUUAUGAGAAAGUAAGAAAGUGAAUGCAAUGAUUGUGCAUUUAAUUGAAACAUUUUACUACCUCCUAAUAUGCAGUUACUUUUUUCUAAAAAAAAUGAAAAGAAAAAGAAAAACAUGUUGUAAAAUGAAAUAAAAGAUGAAACAUGCAUGAUUAUGCAGUGCAUUAUGAUAAAAAUGAGAUAUAGAUAGGGUAGGUUUUUUUCAUGUAUACAUGUGCCCUAUAUGGU